rnacentral:lncRNA from 1 species
GAGAGCUCAUCCUAACCUCCAGUGCUGGGAUUUCACAAAAUGAAAAUACCUUAAAUAUGCAACAGUGUUAGCAAAUGAACAGCAACAGAGAAAAAUCAUUUCUUCCCCUUUUUUAUCUCCAUCUUCAAACUUUAAUUUAAAACAACUAUUUUUACAUAAACUACAAAGUCAUAGCCAGCAGCAUGUGCAGCAGAGACAGAUAGCCUGAGGUUGCCCAGGGACUUUUCAUUUUAUCUUUGCGCAGACCUAGCACUGCCUGCCAGGUAAAACUAGUGUAACGAGGGCUCCGGCGUCUCCACCACGCGUCAGCCCUGCCGAGGCCAAGAUGAGCACGCUGAUAACGCGGGCUGCCUGACAGCCAGGGGAGAUUCUGUAAAUCAUGCUGCUCCCAUUGAUUACAGUCGGGAAGAGCAUUAACCCUCCUUCACCCCAAGAUACGCUGUCUCCACAAGUGUUUGUAACAUCAACAUGUUACGGGAGCUUUUGGAAGAUGAAUUCAUUGCUAGAGAGAAGACCCCUUCGCAAAAUAAAGAAAUGCCAACAAGCCUGAG